CAACAAAAGUGUUAAAUCCUCAUUGCCUUUAGUCUGGAACCUGAUUGAAAUAACUGUUUACCAUUUCGGUGUGUAUAACGUGCAAAUCUAGCCAGUGUGAUUUUGGACUUAAUCCUCAAAUAUUUAUCUUUCUAGGCAAGACGAAAAGGGUGAACACUCAUUACGUCUACAGUAUUAAGGAUGUACAGAAGGCUCUGGCCAAAGGAAGACGUCGAUUUGGCCACAGGAAAAAGACUUCCACACAACUGCUGAAACCUAAACAGGAAAACAAGAACUUAGCAGAAGGGAACUCACAGCCUCAACCAGCCUUUGGACAUGGAGACUUCAAUCAGACAUUCAAAAUCAUCAACGGCAAAUUAGUCGUUGAGAAACUCAGGCGUGACCUGGAUUAGCCAUAACCUCUCCACGCUUUGAUAUUACUGAUAUCUAAAAUGACCGUUUAGUGGUAAUUUCUGUAAUCU